CAGGAAAUAGUUUAUUAAAAUAUUAAUUUUGGAGAUUAAAGAUAGCUAGUUAGUUUUUUCUGA
rnacentral:tRNA from 1 species